AGGCCACGACUUCCCCGGGGGAGGAAAGAGGACCCUGUCCUUAACAUCAGAUACAACACAUGCCGAGUUAUCAAGUUUGCUGCGGGAAGCAUACUCAAAAAUGAGUCAUUUGGAAGACAGGUGGCUUCUUUUCAAAGCUGCAGGUGGGAAUGGAAGGAGAAGAAUAUCUGUAAUACCAUUGGAGGCAGAGGGGUAUACAGGAUCAGUGAUCAAAAGUGCUUCUAGUGGUGGGAAGAACUUGCUGUACGUCGUGCCGUUGCAGGAUGAACUUGAUAUGACACCACUGCCACCAG